AAGACCCAUCAACCCUCCCAGGUUUUGAAAUAUGUUUCUCUAACUUUGGUUAAAAUUGUAUAUUUUUCAGUGUGCAAGUCCGAAAAGAUACCAACAUUUCCACCUGUACUACAAUCAAUGGCAACCACUGCUAUGAGUUUCUGAAUACUACGUGCCGAAAGUCCUAAGAGUUACCACCAACUUUCCACCUAUACUAAAAUAGAUGGCAACCACAGUGACUGCUAUGGGUUUGUGAAUGCCACAUGUCGCAAGUCUGAAAAGGUACCAUCAACAUUCCACCUGUAUUAAAAUGCUUGGCAACCACUGCUAUGGGUUUCUGAAUACCACAAGAGUCCAAAGAGGUUAUACCCACCUGGCCUCCGCACUUCCAAUUCUCCAUACGAUCCGCUCAGGGAAAACGAAGUUGCAGUCACGUGACUGGGACAGGCAGGGGUGCUCAGUAGAAGAAUUUUCAGGCCAUCCCAUUGGCUGUUGGGAUGUUAACCAGACUACUAUCCUUAGGGGAAUAUGCACUAGUUUGAGGACAGGUUAUGUAUUUAUAAAAGAGAAAUUACUCCAAGUUUACUUAAUUUUUUCAUUGGCGUAAGUCCGAAAAUUUACAAUUAACAUUUCAGCUAUAUUAAAAUGGAUGGCAACCACUGCUAUGGGUUUCUGAAUUCUACAGUAAGUAGAUCAUAAGAAAUAACAAAACAAAUCACUGUCAACCCUCUUAAUUUUUCAAAAAUGUUUCUUUAACUUUGGUGAAAAUCUUAUUUUUUUCAUCUGUCCAUGUCUACUACAGUCAGUGUAAUUUGAAUAUAUUAAAAAAAACAAAAAAACCCUAGUUUUCUUUGUAUUGGUUGAGAAACUGCCAACACUUUGCAUUCUCUAUGCAUGUUUCAUGAACAUUUUGCAUCCAUCCCUCAAUCGCUGGGGACCUCUCGUGUGUGGUUUUAUAUACUGGAAUAUAUAUAUAACUAGGAUAUAUUAACAGAUCUCAGUGAACCCUCCCAGAUUUCUUUGUAUUGGGUGAGAAAUUGUGCAGACAUUCAGGUUUCUCUGUAUUUUUGUUCAACUUUUGUUACCCAUCCUUCCAUCAAUAUUAAAACUGAUGGGCACCUAUCCUAUGUAGUUUUCAAUAUUGCAGUACAUGUAUAACUAGAAUUUAUUAACAAACACCUAUCAAUCCUUCCAGUUUUUCUUAUAUAGAGUGAAAACCUUUACCAAGUGUUGGCUUUUUUUGUGCGCAUUCCAUUAACUAUUGAAUAUUUUUUAUGCACAUAUAACUAAAAUUUAUUAACAAACUUAUGUCAACCGUCCUAAGUUUGCCUUGUAUUGGAGGAAUUUUUUUCUCAAGUUUCGACUUUCUUGCACAGGUGUGGGAUUUAGCUCAGUUGGUUGAGCACUCGCCUGAGGUGCUUGCA